rfam:TPA: Bos taurus chromosome 16, whole genome shotgun sequence.
UCCCUGGUAGCCCAGAGGUUAGGACUCCAAGCUUUCACUGUGGGGGUCCAGGUUCAAUUCCUGGUCAGGGCA